GGUAAUACGGCUUUCCUACGCCACCGUGAAUUACUUUGUUCGAUCCUCCAAUUACGAUCGCGAAUUACCCCUUUCCUACAGGCACAUUCUUAAUUCGAUUUGACAGUUCUCUAUCAUUGUGUUUUGUUUUUUUGUUAUUCGCUACAAAAUUUAUGCCAAAUUAUCGUAAUUCGAAGGGAAAUUGGAGUGCGAAUGAAGAAUGAGAGAGCAAACUACGUAAUUGGGGUGCCGUGAGAAAGCCGUAUUACACUGUUCAACUUUCACAGGCGGUUAGUUGAAUCACAAGUUUACAUCAUUUAACUGAAUGUUGAAUAAUCUAAUACCCUUUUAAAUACGAUGAGUGCUCCUGGCGUUGAAGGUGCUGAAGGCGGAAGGUACCCAUGGUGCUCCUGGCGAUGACGGAGCUGAGGGUAGAAGGUACUGGUGGUGUUCCUGGCGAUGAAGAAGCUGAGGGCAGAAGGUUCGAAUGGUGCUCCUGGCGAUGAAGAUGCAAGCGUUGGAGGUGCUGAUGGUGAAUCCCAAAUCUGUAAACAAACAAAAAUAUCAAUUAAAAUUUAUAAACAUAUAAAAGUCUCAAUACAUACCUUAAG